CAGUAGCCGCGGUAAUACGUAGGGUGCAAGCGUUAAUCGGAAUUACUGGGCGUAAAGCGUGCGCAGGCGGUUUUGUAAGACAGAGGUGAAAUCCCCGGGCUCAACCUGGGAACUGCCUUUGUGACUGCAAGGCUGGAGUGCGGCAGAGGGGGAUGGAAUUCCGCGUGUAGCAGUGAAAUGCGUAGAUAUGCGGAGGAACACCGAUGGCGAAGGCAAUCCCCUGGGCCUGCACUGACGCUCAUGCACGAAAGCGUGGGGAGCAAACAGGACUAGAUACCCGAGUAGUCCCUGUCUCUUAUAC
rnacentral:rRNA from 1 species